UACGUAGGGGGCAAGCGUUGUCCGGAUUUAUUGGGCGUAAAGAGCGUGUAGGCGGCUAGAUAGGUCCGUUGUGAAAACUCGAGGCUCAACCUCGAGACGCCGGUGGAAACCACCUAGCUAGAGUCCGGAAGAGGAGAGUGGAAUUCCUGGUGUAGCGGUGAAAUGCGCAGAUAUCAGGAAGAACACCUAUUGCGAAGGCAGCUCGCUGGGACGUAACUGACGCUGAGACGCGAAAGCGUGGGGAGCAAACAGG
rnacentral:rRNA from 1 species